AGCAGAAAUGUAAUACAAAAGAGGCAAAUAAUAGAAAUUUACUACUUUAAAACAUAAUUGUUCUUUCCAAAUACCUAUAUUUAAUUACCCGUAAAGGGCCAACUGAUUCAAAGCUCCAGAUUUGCAUAUGGCCUAAAUUUGUUAAUUUGUUCUAUCUCAUGCAAUUCUAAGUCUGCUUCAUCAUCAAUGUUUGUUGUUGUUGUUGUCAUAAAUAUGGCAUGAACAAGAAUCGUUGGCAGCACAAGUUGAACACUCAACUUAAAACUCCUCCAUGUGCUAGAGAUAUAAGCAGUGCAUAAGGAUAGCAGCAUAAUUAUGGAGUAGGUAUACCAAAAGAUAUCUUGUGGGAAGAAUUAGGGGUGCAAGCGGUCCAAUUUUACCGAUUUUAGACAGAUUUUCAAACCAAAUCGUUUAAACCGGUUUGAAAAAAACUCAAACUUAAACCAAACCAUUUUGAACGGUUUGAAAAAAACUCAAACCUAAACCUAACGGUUUGAUCUAGUUUUAAACCGUCGGUUACUUUUAUGUCAUUAAUUCAUUGAAUUCAAUAUAUAUUUAUAUCUCACUAGCAAUAAAUCUAAAACAAACUAAACCCCUGUUUGAACCAAAUUUUUGAAACAAAAAAAAUGAAAAUUUGAACCAUUAUCCCACAAGUCCAGCCACCUUUGUUGACCUGCUAUUUCAUGUGUGGGAUCUAGCCUCCUCUCCAACGAUCAAUUUUCUCGUUAUGAUGAUAUGAAAAAUAUGGCUCAAACAGAGGCUAAAUAUAUCUAUUAUAAAUUUAAAUACCAACUAAAUCAAAGAAAAAUUACAAUAAAUUAAAAUAUAAUUUUUUUUUCAUUUUUGUUUAUCUUGUUUAGGCUAAUGAGGAUAUAAUAACGUUACAAUACAAGUCUAUUAAAUUAGAUAUAAGGGCCAAAAAAUAUAAUGAUGUCCAAUAAGAUCUCGUGAUCACCAUAUCUGAAAAAAGGACACUGAUUAGACAAAGAGAAUAACCAAUAACAAUAAUAAAGUAAUUGUUUAUAAUAUAUAAACAUAACAAUUACACAAAUUUACGUUUGUAUGAUAUUACAAAACGCAUUUAAUUUCAGAUUCUUACCUUAGUUUGUUCCAAAAAAUUAUUGAUCUGUAAUUUUAUUCGUAGCAAAUAUUAUCACCAAAUGUCUAGGAUUUCUUUGCCUCCGAUUUGGUAUAAUAGACUACUAUUCAACUUUGAAUAGGUGUGAAAAAUCUGAAAAAGAAGUGUGUGGUGCCGGUGGCUCAAGACUUUGUUGGAUGUCUGCUGGAGUUCAUCUAAAUUUUGAAGAUGAAAAUGACUUUUGAUAGAUUAUGUUAGUCUUGAGAUUAUUAAAUAUAUAUUAGGAUUAUUGGAUAAUAAUAAUAACAAUAUACCCGUAUUAGAAAAUUAGAAAUUGACAAAAAUACCCACAAAUGACAAAACUAUUAAAUUUUACUUAUUUGGAUGAAUUUCCAAAAAAAUAAAAUAAAAAUUGUUUCUUCAUUUUUUUAUUUUUAUAUAUUUUUUCGCCUGUCCGGUUUGAUUUUAAAACGCAAUUAAAAUUCUCAAACCUAAACCAAACCAUUUUGACCGGUUUGGUUUGGGUCAAAACCAUUUCGUUGACCGGGUCCACGUGGUACCAAACCGACGAUUUUUAAAAUGCGAUUUCGAUUCGAUUUGACGGUUUUUGCUUACAGCCUUAGUGAGGCAAGAAACAAACCAAUAGAGAAAGAGUAAUUCUUGACUUUAAUGCGUAUGUAUCCCAAAUCAACUUGAGGUGUCAAUGGGAUUUCAUGGAAACAUCCACUACUGUGAAAAAGCAAACAGUAUCAGAAAAAUGGGAUGUUUCCAUGAAACUUCCUAUUUUCUUAUAUAUAGGGAUAUAUCAUGCUGCUCAAAGCAAGUAUCAUCUUCAUAUUCAAUUCAUCACUUCUCCAAAUGAGGUGUUUCCUUGAAACUUCCUAUUUUCUUAUAUAUUGGGAUAUAAAAAAAAAAAAGGUUAAACCCUAAUCUUGAGGGCCCUCACCGCCCCGUUCCUAGAGCUUUGUGAGGGAGGUAGAUCGCGGGAUGUGCCCCCAAUAGGCCAGGGAACAAAAGCUGCUUGUACACUGCGCUUACAAGGAGUCCAAUUCCAUAUUUCAGGAAUCGAACCCCCACACUGCGGCUGUCAGCAAGGCGUGAGAUAAUCUCACUCCUGUCUUUUGCACCAUUAGACUAUACCCCGGGGGUUUAUAUAUAUAUAUAUCAUGCUGCUCAAAGCAAGUAUCAUCUUCAUAUUCAAUUCAUCACUUCUCCUUAAUUUCUCCCUCUAACCAAAACCCCAAGAAUUCUGGAAUUCUUCACUCUCUCAAACCAAAAACCAAGAAUUCUGCAAUUCAUUACCUCUCCUUAAUUUCUCUUUCUUAACAAUCUUUCAGUUAAGAAUAAUGUCAUACUUUGAUCUAAGACACGCUACCCCAUUAGCUGUAAACAUACUGAAAUCACCUAUAGCCAUGCCUUGGGAAUGGGAUCCAUUUGGUAUAGUAUUUGAAAACUUCACGUGGGUCAAGUUUUGGCUUCUCACUAGCUUUUUCUUUCUCUUAUCCUUCAUCUCCAUUGAAAUCCCAUUGGCACCUCAAGUUGAUAUGGGAUGCAUACGCAUUCAAGUCAAGAACUACUCAGUUUCCCUAUUGGUUUGUUUCUUGGCCUCGCUAUUCUUCCCACAAGAUGUCUUUUGGUAUAUCUACCCCAUAAUUAUGCUGCUCUCCUUAUGCACUGCUUGUAUCUCUAGAAUAUAGAGGAGUUUUAAGCAAAAUGUUCAAAUUCUGCUGCCAACAAUUCCCGUUCUUAACAUAUAUAUGACUACAACAAUAAAUAGUGACGAGAAUGCCGACUUAGAAUCUCAAGAGAUUGAACAAAUUUAGCAAGUUUAGGCCACAUGCAAAUCUGGAGCUUUGAAUCAGUAAUUAACUAUAUUUAUAUGGAAAGAACUAUAAUAUUUUGAAGUUGUAAAUUUUUGUUAUUUGCCUCUUUUGUAUUACAUUUUUGUUAGCAUAUAGCGAAUAUAAUUCGAGCAAAAAAAAGUGUUUCAGAUUUUCAAAUUUUUUUUAAUUAUUUUUUUGCCUCUAUCAAGGGAUGUCAAUUUAUAUUNNNNNNNNNNNNNAUUUGUAUGUAAAAAUGUAUUUUAGAAUAGUAACUUGAUGGAAAGUGUUUAAUUGAAAAAUAAGGAAAAAAAUUUGGUUUCCGUGGUUUAUUAUUUUAAUAAAGAAUGUGUAAUUGAAAAGAAACAGAAAAAUGUAUUUUGAAAAAAAUGGAUUCCAAACGGAGGCUUAAUUUCCCUUAUUCUGGCCAAGGGCUCAAUUUGUAAAUUGAAAAGUAAAGAGCCAUUGGACACAUUAUUCAUUUAGUGGGUUAGCAGCAAAAUUAGGCCAUUCUAUAUUUUAUUAAAUAGCGUAUAACAACAUAUUUUUUCAUUAUAUUUCAAAUAAAUAAAUAAGUACGAAAAAUAUUUUUCCCUAAUUUCAAAGUAUAGAAACGAAAUUUUUUGACAUAAAAUAUCAUCAAGGGCGAAAUGUAUUAAUUAGGGCUUGUUUGAGCCACACUAUUUUAAAAAAAAAAUACAUUCUUUAACAGUGAUUUGAUAUCAUUUCAACAAUACAUUCUUCAAUAAAAUAAUAUCACACGUAAAUCUAAAAUUUUUCAUUAUUUUUUAACCACACAUUUCUCAUAGAUUUGACAUGAAUAAUGCAUUUUUCCUAGAAUGUGGCUCAAACAUGCGCUUAAUGAAAGUCGAAUCUAAGAGUUUGACGAAAAAAAUUGCAAUAAUAAGCAAAAAUUAAGAACCUUAACUAUAAUUAAAAUGUAGUGGAGCUAAUAAAAAUUGCAAUACCAUUAUAACUGUCCUAAAAGAAAACUUGGCAUCCCUUAGUAGAGACAAAAAAAAAAUGAAAAAACCACCCGAAAGGGUUCUUUCAUCCAAUCUGAAACUUUAAGACAUGUUUUUUUAUAUGCCAGCAGAAAUGUAAUACAAAAGAGGCAAAUAAUAGAAAUUUACUACUUUAAAACAUAAUUGUUCUUUCCAAGUACCUAUAUUUAAUUAUCCGCAAAGGACCAACUGAUUCAAAGCUCCAAAUUUGCAUAUGGCUUAAAUUUGCUGAAUUUGUUCUAUCUCCUGCAAUUCUAAGUCUGCUUCAUCAUCAAUGUUUGUUGUUGUUGUUGUUGUUGUUGUCGUCAUAAAUAUGGUAUGAACAGGAAUAGUUGGCAGCACAAGUUGAACACUCAGCUUAAAACUCCUCCACAUGUUAGAGAUAUAAGCAGUGCAUAAGUAGAGCAACAUAAUUAUGGAGUAGGUAUACCAAAAGAUAUCUUGUGAGAAGAAUUAGGAGUGUAAGUGGUCCGAUUUUACUGAUUUUUGACAGAUUUUCAAACCAAACCCUUUACACUGGUUUGAAAAAAUUCCAAACCUAAACCAAACCAUUUUAAACGGUUUGAAAAAAACUCAAACCUAAACCUAACGGCUUGGUCUGAUUUUAAACCACCGAUUUCGUCAUAUAUUUUUUUCCCGUCUGCUCUUAUGUCAUUAAUUCAUUGAAUUCAAUAUAUAUUUAUAUCUUACUAGUAAUAAAUCUAAAAUAAACUAAACCUCUGUUUGAACAAAAUUUCUGGAACAAAAAAAUGAAAAUUUGAACCAUUAUCCCACAAAUCCAGCCACCUUUGUUGACCUGUUAUUUCAUGUGUGGGACCCAGCCUCCUUUCCAACGAUCAAUUUUCUCGUUAUGAUGAUAUAGAAAAUAUGGCUCAAAUAGAGACUAAAUAUGUCUACUAUAACUUUAAAUACCAACUAAAUCAAAGAAAAAUUACAAUAAGCUAAGACAUAGUUUUUUUUCAUUUUUGUUCAUCUUUUUUAGGCUAAUAACGAUAUAAUAACGUUACAAUACAAGUCUAUUAAAUUAGAUAUAAGAGCCAAAAAAUAUAAUGAUGUUCAAUAAGAUCUCGUGAUCAUCAUAUCUGAAUGAUGGAUACUGAUUAGACAAAGAGAAUAACCAACCAUAAUAAUAAAGCAAUUGUUUAUAAUAUCUAAACAUAACAAUUAUACAAGUUUACGUUUGUAUGAUGUUACGAAACGCAUUUAAUUUCAGAUUCUUACCUUAGUUUGUUCCAAAAAAAUUAUUGAUCUGAAACUUUAUUCGUAACAAAUAUUAUCACCGAAUGUUUACGAUCUCUUUGUCUCCGAUUUGGUAUAAUAGACUACUAUUCAACUUUGAAGAGGCGUGAAAAAUCUGAAAAAGAAGUGUGUGGUGCCGGUGGCUCAAGACUAUGUUGGAUGUCGGCUGAGAGUUCAUCUAAAUUCUGAAGAAGAAAAUGACUUUUGAUAGAUUAUGUUAGUCUUGAAAUUAUUAGAUAUGUAUAAGAAUUAUUGGAUAAUAAAAAAAUUCAUUUCUUCAUUUUUUUUAUUUUUAUAUAUUUUUUCCCCCGUCCGAUUUAGUUUUAAACUGCAAUUAAAAUUCUCAAACCUAAACCAAACCAUUUUGACCGGUUUGGUUUGGGUCAAAACUAUUUUGUUGAUCGAGUCCACGUGGCACCAAACUGACGAUUUCUAAAAUGCGAUUUCGAUUCGAUUUUCUGGUUUGACGGUUUUUACUUACAGGACUAAGAAGAAUAGUGAGGCCAAGAAACAAACCAAUAGGGAAAGAGGAAUUCUUGACUUGAAUGCGUAUGUAUCCCAAAUCAACUUGAGGUGUUAAUGAGAUUUCAUGGAAACAUCCACUAGUGUGAAAAUGCAAACAGUUUCAGGAAAAAAAUGGAUGUUUCCAUAACACUUUCUAUUUUCUUAUAUAUAGGGAUACAUCAUGCUGCUCAAAGAAAGUAUCAUCUUCAUAUUCAAUUCAUCACUUCUCCUUAAUUUCUCUCUUUAACCAAAAUCCAAGAAUUCUGCAAUCGAUCCAACCAAAAACUAAGAAUUCUGCAAUUCAUCACUUCUCCUUAAUUUCCCUCUCCAACCAAAACCCUAAGAAUUCUGGAAUUCAUCACUCUCUCAAACCAAAAACCAAGAAUUCUGCAAUUCAUUACCUCUCCUUAAAUUCUCUCAACAAUCUUUCAGUUAAGAAUAACGUCAUACUUUGAUCUAAGACACGCUACCCCAUUAGCUGUAAACAUACUGAAAUCAUCUACAGCCAUGCCUUGGGAAUGGGAUCCAUUUGGUAUACUAAUUGAAAACUUCACGUGGUUCAAGUUUUGUCUUCUCAAUAGCUUUUUCUUUCUCCUCCUUCAUCUUCAUUGAAAUCCCAUUGGCACCUCAAGUUGAUAUAGGAUGCAUACGCAUUCAAGUCAAGAACUACUCAGUUUCCCUAUUGGUUUGUUUCUUGGCCUCACUAUUCUUUCCACAAGAUGUCUUUUGGUAUAUCUACCCCAUAAUUACGCUACUCUCCUUAUGCAUUGCUUGUAUCUCUAGAAUAUGGAGGAAUUUUAAGCAAAAUGUUCAACUUCUGCUGCCAACAAUUCCUGUUCUUAACAUAUAUAUAACUACAACAAUAAAUAUUGACGAGGAACCCGACUGAGAAUCGUAGGAGAUUGAACAAAUUAAGCAAGUUUAGGCCAAAUGCAAAUUUAAACCUUUGAAUCAGUAAUUAACUGUAGUUAUAUGGAAAGAACUAUAAUGUUUUGAAGUCGUAAAUUUCUGUUAUUUGCCUCUUUUGUAUUACAUUUCUGUUAGCCUAUAGCGAAUAUAAUUCGAGCAAAAAAACGUGUUUUAGAUUUUCAAUUUUUUUUUUAAUUAUUUUUUUGCCUCUAUCAAGGGAUGUCAAUUUAUAUUGGUACUAUAAUUUUGAUUAGUUGCACUACAUUUUAAUUGUAGUUCUUGUUAUAGCAAUCAUUUUCUUAAUUUUUUUCAUCAAAUUUUUAUCUUCAACUUUUCAUUAAUUAAUACAUUUUGUCAUUAAUGAUGAUUUACUUCAAAUAUUUUGUUCUAUGCUUUGAGAUGACGAAAAAAUAUUUUUAGUACAUAUAUUUAUAUAAAAUAUGAUAAAAAAUAAGUCAUCGUACGCUAUUUAUUAUAAUAUAGAAUGACAUAUGUUGACCCCCAAAAAGUGUUGCCAACAGAUGCAGGUCCACCCGCGCACACGUGGGCGAAUGUCCAACAAGUUAAGACACAUGGACGGUCUACGACGAGCGGUUCAAAGGGCAUAGGAGUAGCCCAAUGACACGGGACAGUGACGUUCGGAAUCCGACGGGUUGUUCGUGAUCCGAUUGUACAAUAAUUACCAACCGGUGUUCGUAAAUGUAUAUGUAAAUGUGUGUAAACUCGAUUUGUGUAUUGCAAGUAAAUGGGAGAGAGGGUUGAGUAAAGUGUAGUUCUUUGUAUUGAUUCUUGCAUUAAUCCUUUGAUGUUACACAAGGAAAGUAUUUAUAGUGAUACAUGUAAAUGGGAGCCCUUGGAUGAGGUAGCAUGGCCUCAUCUCUUUGAUUCAAACAUCUUAUUCUAGGCAGGGGGCUUGACUUGCUAGCUUGCUGCGCAUUUAUUGCUUGUGCAGAGCCUCCAUGCUAGUGACAAGACUUGACCUUUAUACUUAUGACAAAUGUUCCAUCAAUCAUUCGAAUAAGAUCUUUGUGUAGACGAUCUCUUGGGAGAAGUGACCAUGGAGGACGUUCCCAUGUGGUUCGGAGGCUCCUGCAUCAGCUUUGGGGCUUCAGCCAUUUCAUACAAUACUCCCACUUGAGGGCUUCAGUUAACUUCAACCAGCUUUCGCAUCAUGGCGUCGGCCCAUAGGCCUCAGGAUGUGGACCUCGGUUACGAUUACAGGCCUCGGUGAAAGGGCAUGCUUCGGAUUGGAGGGCUUGGGCCAUAGCCCACCUCGGCAAUAUAUACCGCCUCGGCUGGAAUGCCACGUGGUUCGGCCUGAGUGGGCCAUUGGCCCAGGUAGGUUGGCUAAGUAUGACAAUACGCAACAAUAGUUCCCCAAGUCCAAGUAUAAAUAUUUAUGUCAUGGUUGGAGUUUGAGAUGUGCUGCUGUAAGCAAAUGAUGAAGAGACCGAGGUUGUGUUGGGUAACCGAACCUGCUAGGCUUGUAGGCCGAUCGUUGAAGUUGAAACCGAGGUGGUUGGGAAACCGAACCUGCGAAGCUUGUAGGCUGAUCGUUGAAGUUGAAUUCGAGGUGGUUGGGUAAUCGAACCUGCGAGGCUUGUAGGCUGAUCGUUGAAGUUGAAGCCGAGAUUCGAUGGGAAUGAUUGUGCGUCGAUAGCUGCACCAAUGAUUUGAUGUUUUGUGCUUGUUUUUGAGGAAAAGCGACUGACCCGUACGACUUCCAGGGGGCCUGCUGCCGUCGAAUUAAAAACACAAUUAUGAGGACAACUGGAGGUUCUAGAAGCAGAUGCACUGGAUGGGGUGCGUGGGAGGCACGCUUGAAUCUGAGGCGUAGGUUUGAAAAAUCGUUUGAAUUCGACGCCUCGGAUUUAUUCUUCAAAGGAGGGUUCAGAUUGACUGAGAUUCAAUCUGACAGCUGGGGUUCGUCCUGGACCUCUAUAAAAGGUAAGAGAAUCCCAUUUUUUAGGACUUUUGAAAUUUUGCAAUUUGAUUCUCUCUCAAAAUCUCGAACUUUCCGGCGUCAAGGCUGCCUGUUCUUUGAUUUUUCGGCCUAUCUCCGUUCGCGUAGUGUUCUUCCCUUAGGUAUUAUUCGUAGAAAAGCCCUUUUUGUUGUGUUAAUUCUGUGAAAUGGAGUCCACCUCGGGUAGGGAGCUGGUGACUGUAGCAUCGUUAGUUUAUGGGGUCAGUCAGAGGGGGGAUGCCGAGGCUGAUAGUUAUGCCAUGGCCGAGGACCCAGUACAUUGUACUGAAAAGUGGGGGCGUCUAGGGUACCCUCAAGUAUGACGUGAAAAAGGUUAGGGGAGAUCAGGGAGAGAUACUGUGUCCCCCAUACCAUAGAAAUGCUAGUACCCCAGCUAAAUGAGCGUGCCUGCUAUUCAAGGCCCGGAUGCGUGGCAGUUAGUGAAUACCUGUUUAAGGCAAGUAUGCGUCUUCCUCUGCACCCCUUCUUUAGGGCAGUGUUGAGGAACUUUAUGUUGUCGCCGACCCAAGUUCUGCCAAAUGGGUGGAGCCAGUUGGUCGGCUCGUACUUCCUAUGGAAGGAGGUGUCACUUGGGGAGGACAUGCCUCUCCAUGUAUUUAUGUCCCUUUUUCAGCCUCGGAUCAUAGGGAAGGAGUCCAGGGGGUGGUAUUACCUUACACCUUGGGGGGCUCACGCACCCUUUAUGGUGGGACUGCCUUCCUCCAUUAAGGGGUAGAAGGAGUCCUGGUUCUGGGUGAGGGGAAAAUGGCAGGUAGUGGAGGGGGAUAAGGCCCUUUCUUGCAUAGUGCCAACCCAGUACUAUGAAGCUCGUGAGUCUCCCAGCCCCUGCUUGUACUUCUGAAUUGAACACUUAGAAAAUUUCUAACUGUUGGGGCUUCCAUUGUAGAUUGUAGUACGAGGUUCGAGCUCAGCAGAGAAGAGUUCGAGGUGAUAGAGGACAUCUACAAGAGGCCUCUGAAGCUCUGCCACUUUGACCAUCUAAUUGACAGGAGUCGCUACUUCCUGGAUUUUGGACUGAUGGCAUCUAGAGGUACGAGGCUCCCAUGGUUGUAAAUUUCCUUGUCCUUUUGAUUGGAUACUGAUGUACUGACUUGACGUUCUUAUGCAGAUAAAUUCAAGAAAAAUGAGUACCCAGCUCCAGACAUGGCUACAAUUCUGAAGGCCACCACCACCGUCAAGGCUAGGGCCUUGAAGCCGGGGUCUAGUGGGGCCAAGGAGGUCCGAGGCAGGGUGGAAUGCCUUUCCAAGGACACUACUCCAAAAGCUUCCGAAGAGGGAGCUUCCCAGAGGCAGGAGAGGCCAAAAGAGCCUCGGGAGAAAGAGAAGAUCCCAGAGGAAGCGAAGAGGAGGAAGCUUGUGCAUGUUACUAGCUCGUCCGAGAAAUUUGGGACAUCAGUGUCCCACGAGGCCAAAUCAACCGGCGAACAAAGCUGCUUGCAUCCGCCUCCAAAGCCAUCAAGUUAGAAAUGGUCAGAGAGGCUGAAGCUGAGGAGGCCAGAGAGGAGGCUGAGAGGAGGGCUGUUGAGGCUGUCAAGGAGGAGGCAGCUAAACAAAAGCCUGUUCGGGAAAAGAGGAAGUCUCCAAGCUUCCUAGCUGAAAGGGAGGAGACCUUGGCCCCACCUUGGUGGAGGCACUCUUCCCCAGGAGGUCCGAAGCGCCACAGAGAACUUUUACCGGUUCUGGACGAACAGGUGGCAGCUGCAUGCCUCUUCCUGCGAUGCCAUCGACCUGACGAAGGCUUUGGUGAGCCAAAGCGUCAGAACCUUCGGCCUCGCUCUUGAAUGCAGGGAGGCCUUGAGUGAUUUUCAGACAAGGACCCAGUCUUCGGAGGAGAAGACGGCCUCUCUUGCAGAGGAGUUGAAGGCAGCUAGGGCCGAGGCGGAAGAAGCCAGGGCCCAAAAACUUAAAGAGAUGGGCAAGCUUGAGUCUGCCUUGGCCCAGAUUGAGGCCUUGAAGAAGGAAGUCCAUGAAUCACGGUGCGAGGUGGCCUCCCUUACAAAGAAGGUGGAAGUCUUUAAUGAGCACCAGAAGGUGACCGUCGAGGCCCUAGAGAAGGCAAAUCUCUCUUUGACGGGUGCCCAAGAAGCUUACCAUUUCUUGGAAACCCAAAUCAAGUGAUAUGUGGAUGAUGCAUCCCAUGCCAGAGAGAGGGCUCAGCAGGCAAGGGAAGAGGCGGUGCGAGAGUAUAUUGCCAACUUCCAUAACACAGAAGAGUAUAAGAGUUUCAGUGCUUACUGGAGAAACUUUGCCUAUGCUGAGGUGAUGGAGCGGGUAGAGGAACUGUAUCCCAAUUUGGAUCUGACUCAACUCAGGUCUGAAUUCGUGGAUGAGGU
rnacentral:lncRNA from 1 species